UACGUAGGGCGCAAGCGUUGUCCGGAAUUAUUGGGGCGUAAAAGAGCUCGUAGGCGGUCUGUCGCGUCUGCCGUGAAAACCCGAGGCUUAACCUCGUGGCUUGCGGUGGAUACGGGCAGACUAGAGGUAGGUAGGGGAGAAUGGAAUUCCCCGGUGUAGCGGUGAAAUGCGCAGAUAUCGGGAGGAACACCGGUGGCGAAGGCGGUUCUCUGGGCCUUACCUGACGCUGAGGAGCGAAAGCGUGGGGAGCGAACAGG
rnacentral:rRNA from 1 species